rnacentral:misc_RNA from 1 species
UGCUUUUCAAGGUUAAUUAUUAUUUGUUCAAUUUUCAAAAAGAAUAAGUCAGAUUCUUUUUAUUUUCCUCAGAGAAUUGAUAACUAUUCAGAGGCUCAGAUUCUUCCUCUUUGUUCUUCUUUUGCUUAUCUAUUGCAUUUUCUUGGAGGAGCUCAAUCAAAUUAUGUGGUGGUGUUAGAGGUAGAGCCUAUCAUUCUUCUAUUAUUUACUGAAAUGACUUGAUGAAAUGCAGAUAGCAGGCCCAAGCUGAUUGCUG